rnacentral:rRNA from 1 species
AACGAACGCUGGCGGCAUGCCUAACACAUGCAAGUCGAACGAUUGCCUUCGGGUGAUAGUGGCGCACGGGUGCGUAACGCGUGGGAAUCUGCCCUUAGGUUCGGAAUAACAGCUGGAAACGGCUGCUAAUACCGGAUGAUAUCGCGAGAUCAAAGAUUUAUCGCCUGAGGAUGAGCCCGCGUUGGAUUAGGUAGUUGGUGGGGUAAAGGCCUACCAAGCCGACGAUCCAUAGCUGGUCUGAGAGGAUGAUCAGCCACACUGGGACUGAGACACGGCCCAGACUCCUACGGGAGGCAGCAGUGGGGAAUAUUGGACAAUGGGCGCAAGCCUGAUCCAGCAAUGCCGCGUGAGUGAUGAAGGCCCUAGGGUUGUAAAGCUCUUUUACCCGGGAAGAUAAUGACUGGACCGGGAGAAUAAGCCCCGGCUAACUCCGU